rnacentral:rRNA from 1 species
UUAACAGGAGACAGGUGAUGCAUGGUUGUCGUCAGUUCGUGUCGUGAGAUGUUGGGUUAAGUCCCGCAACGAACGCAACCCUUAUUGCUAGUUACCAUCAUUAAGUUGGGGGACUCUAGCGAGACUGCCAGUGAUAAACUGGAGGAAGGUGGGGAUGACGUCAAAUCAUCAUGCCCCUUAUGACCUGGGCUACAAACGUGCUACAAUGGCUAUUACAAAGGGAUGCGAAGCUGUGAAGUGGAGCCAACCCAUAAAGAUAGUCUCAGUUCAGAUCGAAGUCUGCAACUCGACUUCGUGAAGUCGGAAUCGCUAGUAAUCGCGAAUCAGAAUGUCGCGGUGAAUACGUUCUCGGGGUUU